ACCUUUCGUGUAUUACCGCAUGCGAUGCUAGUUGACUGUCGACGAGCGCGCUGAUAGAGCAGUGGCACAACAGGCUGCCUGUAUGAGAGCGACGGUGAGUACACGUGACAACGUCCUACAUCCGAUAAUGGGAGAAUCCUUGUAUAGGGCGCGGAUCAUUGUGAGCAUCUCACGAUGCGGAAGGUGCUACGCAGUCGUGCGUGCAGUGAGGUGUCGCGGCCGAUCAGAUAGUCGUGGGGUAACGGCUACCAAGACGACGACGGCUAGCUGGUCUGAGAGGAUGGUCAGCCACAUUGACACUGAGAUACUGUCCAGACUCAUACGGGAGGCUGCAGUCGAGUAUCAUGGGCAAUGCACGAAAGUACAACCCAGAUACGCCGCGUGCAUCCAUGAAGGAGCUCUGCUUCGUACACUUCUUUUAUGGUGGAAAGAGAAAGCUCGCAAGAGCNUUGACGGUACCGCCAUGAAUAAGCCCACGGCUGACACUAUCGUGCCAGCAGCUCGCGGUAAUACGUAGCGCUGGCAAGCGUUGUCGUGGAUUGUAUCUGGAGCGUAAUNGCGCAAGCGCAAGGGCGGAAUGGUUUAAAAGUUUCCCAGAUACGGUGAAAAUGCGUUGGGGAGGGCUUCGAAACUCCCCCAACAACUGGACUUUGGGAAUAACUGGCCACGUUCUUGAGUGAGCCGGAGAGGGACGAGUGGAACGACACGUGUAGCGUGUGAAAUGCGUUAGAUAUGUGUACGGAACACCAAUGGCGUAAGACGCAGAUGCUCCUGAGCAGCGCACAACUAGACGACUGAGGUUCGAAAGCCAAGGUAGCAACA
rnacentral:rRNA from 1 species